UGUCUCCUUGUGAUCUGAAAGAGUCAAAGAAUUCCACUUUACUGAAAACAAGCUUCAGACUGCAGAUGAGCUGUGAGGGAUUGGAAAGCCCUAUUAGGAUCAGCUGGUUGGCUUUGAAGACUCAGUCAUCCUUCUUGAACAGCAAUUUGUGUGAAAGCAGAAUCAUCGCAAGAAAGAUGAGAACCACAAAGAUUAUGGGAUACUUCAAAUUACUCUGUAACAGCAUUUAGGAGAGAGAUGCUGGAGUCAUGCUUCAUCAUUGCAGGCCCUAUGUCUCUUGAAGGUUAAACCUCUCGAUGACGAAAUGAAAAAUUUGAACACAAACCAAGCAAAAACAAAAGCACCACGUGCCUGCCGUUGGGAUCACGCCUUUCUCUCCAAAAGGACCCCUCUUCUCUGCUCGCUCGAUCGUUCUUCCACGUAAUCUCUGCCCCUUGGCACCCGGGUUGUCUCGUCCAGGAGCUCUGUGUCAACGUACCUGAAACAAGACGGCAAACGUUUAUUGCGUGUGCUUACUGCGGGCAGGUGGGCUCAUGGCACAUAAUCCUCACGCCUACUCAGGGAGGUGCAGAGAGGCCUUUGAGAUAAAUUCACUGAUGUUCUUGGAUCCACUUCAGAGUUUUCUGGGCUCAAAAUCUACAGACUUCCAGAGGACAUCUAAGAGUGCCAGCUGGCAUGAGGGCAGGACUCAUGAAGGUAGGAGUGACUGUCCUAAGAAAUGGGCUGCUUUUCUCUCUCGACAUGGAAAGCUAUACUGAACCUAACGGGCAAGGCUGAUGGCUUGAGAGGCCACCGUGUUGGGGAGUGGGUGUAUCCUCUGUGGGCCCCUUUACUCACUCCUCCUAUGAGAGGAAGAAGGAUGAAGGUAGUUGGUGAGUGAGAGAAGGAGCUUGGCCUGAGUGGUUCAUCUUCUUCUUUAGGGGAGUCGCCUGCCUGUCAGGAGCAUAAGUUCUGGUUUGCCCCUCUGUGCAUGCACGAAGGUUUACUGUAUUCUGAGGCCUGUGGUUGGCCAGCAUUGCCUGUGACUGAUGACCUAGUCUAUUUCUGAAGUUUUGUAUUAAGAAGCCCAUAGUUGCUUCACACCUAAGUCAUGUAUUACAACCUAGCCUUUAUCAGUAAUAAAGGGGAUAUUUUGAAUGUUAUUUGUCUGAGUCCCAUUUCUGUCCCUCAGUUGAUUCUAAAGUUAGGUAGGGCAUAGCAGAAGCACAUAUGAGGUUCCUUAAAACCUAACACUAUUGCCCAGAAAACUUCAAUAUUAUGAGUCUCUAUAUGUAUCAUAAUACAAAAUGGUAUGCAUUUUCAAAUAUGUAC